rnacentral:rRNA from 1 species
AACGAACGCUGGCGGCGCGUCUUAAGCAUGCAAGUCGAACGGCAAGAGAGGAGCUUGCUUCUCUCCUAGAGUGGCGGACUGGUGAGGAACACGUGGGUAAUCUACCCUUAAGAUGGGGAUAGCUGCUAGAAAUAGCAGGUAAUACCGAAUACACUCGGCAUAUCACAAGAGGUGUUGAGGAAAGGAAGCUACGGCUUCGCUUGAGGAUGAGCUUGCGUCCCAUUAGCUAGUUGGUGAGGUAAAGGCCCACCAAGGCGACGAUGGGUAUCCGGCCUGAGAGGGUGAACGGACACAUUGGAACUGAGAUACGGCCCAAACUCCUACGGGAGGCAGCAGCUAAGAAUAUUCCGCAAUGGACGGAAGUCUGACGGAGCGACGCCGCGUGGAUGAAGAAGGCUGAAAAGUUGUAAAAUCCUUUUGUUGAUGAAGAAUAAGGGUGAGAGGGAAUGCUCAUCUGAUGACGGUAAUCGACGAAUAAGCCCCGGCUAAUUACGUG